CGGAGGAUCCAAGCGUUAUCCGGAAUCAUUGGGUUUAAAGGGUCCGUAGGCGGUUUUGUAAGUCAGUGGUGAAAUCUGGUCGCUCAACGAUCAAACGGCCAUUGAUACUGCAAGACUUGAAUUACUGGGAAGUAACUAGAAUAUGUAGUGUAGCGGUGAAAUGCUUAGAUAUUACAUGGAAUACCAAUUGCGAAGGCAGGUUACUACCAGUGGAUUGACGCUGAUGGACGAAAGCGUGGGGAGCGAACAGGAUUAGAUACCCUGGUAGUCCACGCCGUAAACGAUGGAUACUAGCUGUUGGGGUUACCUCAGUGGCUAAGCGAAAGUGAUAAGUAUCCCACCUGGGGAGUACGUUCGCAAGAAUG
rnacentral:rRNA from 1 species